ACAAAAGGAGGCAGGGGCAAAAUGUCCAGAAAACAUCAAGUAAACGGUCAAACCCCUUUGACCUAACGGAAACGGAACAAAAGGGCAAUUCUGUAAGGGGAACUAACGGCGGAGGGGCAUUUUUGAGCAGGCUUUGGAAUUAGGGGUAUAUCUGAGUAGGUGGUUCGAGUUAGGGACAGAAAUGCAAAUGGCCCUAUUAUCUAUGGAUUCAUUCGAUUUACCGAUUAUGUGUAUGUUUAAGCACUUUUCAGUUUGCAUUUGGCCAUCCAUCUUUUUACUCGUAUCAUAGUAUCUUGGUACAAUUUGCAUUCUUUUCACACAGAAAAGGGUACAAUUUGCAUUUGAUCAGUCGGUUUUUCACCUCAUAGUUUUUCUUGUACACUUCGGCUUCUGAGCCUGAAUGUGCCAUCCGACUCUUCAUAUUCGAAACUACUUCAUUGAUGAUGGUUGUGCCCGACCUUUGUAUGAUAGGUAAAUCGAGUGGCUGAUGCCCUUUUUAAACAUAUGCAUGUUUCGCUAGAUUUAAGCAUCGUCUGAGAAUCGUGCGAUUUCUGUCGUGUGUAUAACACCACUCCUUCAUUUUUUUGAGCGAAACGGCUACCUAGACAACAGUGCUGCCCGAUCUAUGCAUGACGUGCUAAUCCAGCCGCUGGUGCCCUUCUCAAUCAUGUGCAUGUCGAACCUCAACAAAAUAAAUCAUGUGCAUGUCCGGCUGGAUUUAAGUUCGUGUGUAUAGCACGACUGUUUUUUUUAGGGAAAGCACGGCUGUUUUUUGAGUUGUGCUCUUCAUCCGGAAGAUAAUUACCACUCCGGAUUUUUUUCUCUCCAUCUAAAACAGCCCGUACCGGUUCCCGUACUGGCCUUGUGGCCUCGCUCCUCUCUCCCUCCUCUCGUCGAUCCCUAUCCACUCCAAAGAAAAGGAAAAUAACCCCAUCGGCACCUGGUUCUUCAUCCACACGCAUCAUUUCGCCAGAUUUGCUAUCGGCGAAGGUAGAUAUCGCUCGUGGGCGGUGGCCAUCAUUGAGAGUCUACCCCCCUCUAAAAUUGCUCUUCCUGGGGUUGGUGGCGCAGGUGGCCGGGUGAGUGCGUGAACGCGCUUGAUGCGGUCUUCAGGGUGCAGAUGCUCGCCCACCUCGGCGAGUCCGGCGGCGAGGCCAUCAAGAGGUCCGGCGGCUAGCGACGGUGGUGGAUGUGCUGGAGGUUGGUGGCGUUGAGGGGGCAGUAAGGAAGCUCACGGAGAAGGGUGUGGAUUUCCUAGAUGAGUUCAUGCAAUGGAUAAUGGUCGGAUCUGAGGAGCGGGGUAGAGACUUGCACUGCGGCUAUGCUUCAUGAGAGCUAUGGGGUUAUGUAGACAAAUGUGAGAUCGUGCCAUAAGCAAAUGACAUCAAGAUCUGAGCACCGUUGCAGACGGCCUCGAGUUAUUUUCCUCUUCAUCUCCUACAAAAUGUUGCUUGCAUGGUCAAUUUGGGCAUCGGUUUGUUAAGCAGCAAAAGCUCGCAUGUUGAAUCUACUCAACUCAAGUAUGUUUCCACCAGAAAACUCAAUCGUGUAGUGUAUUGAAUGACAUGUUUAUUUAGUUUCUACUAAUUAGUUUGGAUAACCUCUGAUCAUCCGAUGAAGUAACUGAGAAGAAAUUUUGGUCAUGUUAUUACUUCCCAUUUUUUAUACCUAUGCAAUUAAUGUUAUUUGUUGCUGGUUUUGCUGUGGCGCCAAGUCUAAAUGAGGGAACCUUGUUUUUAUUCAAAGCAAGAUCCAUGUGUUGACAUAGGAUGGAUUUUGUACAAAAUGCCUAUAAUAUCGAGCUUUUCUAAUAUUCUCUUAACUGAAAAAGGCUGUUGGAUAGAGAGCUAUUAUGAAGAGCAGAAAACUCAUAUAUCAAGUAAUUACAACAUGACAUGCUUCUGGUAGUGCUAACUUCAGCCGUUCAGCGCCUUGUUAUGUAAUACGUGUCGUUAUAUUGGUAGAUGUCAAGUGCUCUUCUCUAUCUCAGUUAUGGUCUGCCUUAGUUUCAGUCUAAGCUAUAUUAAUCAACUAAUUUUGUGGGUAACCUCCUUGUUCGUCUAGGUUUUUUUGGCUACUGUAUCUUCGAACUGACCACUUCUCUUGUAGCAUUUUUCAUCAACACUUCCGGUCUUGUGGCCAUAAACCUCUUUGGUCAUUUUAUGCGAUCUCCUUAUGACUGCAGUAUCAGUACAUCUUAUUUUGCCACAACUGGCAACUGAGUCUUCAUCUUCAAGCAUUGCAGUUUUUACUUCCGCUUCAACAUGUUUCUUGUUCCCAGCAUACAUCUCUCCUUUCUUGUACACUUAUCUUGGUGUAUUCAUCCUCUGAGCCAUCCGAUAAUAUGAUAGAUCUCUAUCAUUUUCUUUUGUCAUUGCAGAGUCCAUGUGAUGUUUAUGUUUUUUUUCUUCACACCCAUCAUCAUGUACUAUAACCCCAUUAGUAUCGUGUGGUUCUUCUUACAUAGAAACAAAUUGUCAUAUCCUUUUCUGAGGUGAAUCUCUAUUGUUAUUUGUCUGCAAAAUAAAAAUACAUUUCAAAGAUUACACGUGUCUCUAAAGUUUGAGAAGUAGUACUCUGAGAAAAUUAAUCACCCUUUAGCCUCUAUGUUAUGCUUCUUUGUUGCUUUUUUGAACACGGCGUCCACUUCAUCAUGCAAAAUUCUGAGAAUCAUAUGUGAGAUGUAUUAGUUAGGAAAAUACAAACACAAUACUUCUUUUGUAAUGGAUAAAGGCAAAUUUUCCUCCUCGGCUUUAUCUUUCAGGUCCACCAUCUCAAGCCUAUCAUCACACACAAAUGUUCUUUUUACUGCAUAGUUUUUUGUUCUGAAAGUGAGAUUGCCAUCGCUGAACAUGAGCUGAAAAUAAGUGUUUGUCAACAUUAUUAUUAUGUAAUCUUUGGCGCUUCUUCAUAUUUCUCAUCCAGUGAAUUUAGCAAGUCCGAGACAAAUGUAUUGAACAAUUUUUCGGCCUCACCGUCAAAUAAAGUGCAACUUGUAGUAGUCGUACAGUCAUUAAUUUAUUGUCAAAUACGAUAACUAUCAUACGAUUGUUAUUAGUGUAGAGUAAAUGUAAUAGGAAAGAAGUCUUCUUCAAAUAUAUGCUUACCGAGGUGAUACAUCAUCUCGAUAUGUAUCACAACUCUCGUAACAGUACUUGUCAACUUCCUUCUUAUCUAGUUUGUGAAAAUCAUCACAUCGCAUAUACCAGCUUUGAAUAUGAUCACUUGUAGCUAUUACUGUGAACACAAAAUCCUAAAAUGAUUUCCCAAAAAUUUAGCAUACCGGAGAAAGUGAGAGACAUAAUUAAGUAGAUAUGCACUAUAACUGAUAUUUACUAAGUUGUCAUUGCAGGUAUUGAGAGUCUGGUUUUCCUCAAAAAGUGGCGAUUUCAUAUCUUAGAAGAAGUCUCGCAUUAGUUCAAAUUUGAACUAAAACCAUCACACUUAUUUUGGAUCGAGGAGUAUGAAUUUGGUAUUGAUUCUUGUGUUGAGUUCCUGCACAUUUGGAGCAAAUGGAGUAUAAUAAUUAUCUUAGAUUGGUGAAUAAAGAUGAGUCAAGAUAAAUUAGCUGAGAAAUAAUAAAAGUUGGUCUUUCAUACCUGUCAACAAUUUCCCAAGUUUAUGGUAUAUCUAGAUCUGUAUAGAUUCUUAUGACACUUGACUUUAAGCAUAGUCAUGUUUAAUCAAAGUAAAUUCUGUUAGACAUAUUUUUAUAA